UGACAUAAAGUGUGUAUUUUUAUUUUUAAAUAAAGGGGAUUGAAUUGGAACUAGACCUGAACUGGCUUCCACUGAUUCAAUUCUGGUUCUUCUCCUUCAUGAACCAGAACCAUUGGUUCCUACUUCCUGGUGGUUCAUGAACCAUGGCCAUGCCUAGUUGUUCCUAGAUCUCUAGCAAAAGCCUUGUGAGAGUUGUGUUUUGUGCAAUUGGACUUGGAAAAUAUUUUUAUUACUCUUUCCAAUUUUGUCAUAAAAAGCUGCGUCUCUCUGGACUAUGGUAGCGACAUUUUCUUCUAGGCAGUUUAGCAAUUUAAGAAGAUUCAAAAAAGGCCCGUGGGCUUGACAAGCGUUGCCAAAUAUUAUAUCAUAACUAUCUGAUGGGUAAACAGCCGGGCUUGUGAGCUGUUACAUAGCAGACCUGUAAUUCUCUUUGAAAUAGAGAAAUAGGGAGAGAGUUGGGUUGAGAAAAGAAAUAGAAAGGGGAGAAGUAAUAGAGAGAAUUAGAGAAGAGGAGAGAGCAGAAAUAUAGAGAAAGAGUUUAUCUUGAUUACUAAUGAUGUUGGAUAUCUUUCUCUUUACAAACAAGUUCCUAUUUAUACUAUUUUGGGUCUCAUAACUAGUUUCUACAGUUACAAUUGACUGAAGAGACUAAUCUACUAUUUCUUUAUUGCUUAGUCAUAACAUUCCCCUCUCCUUGUAAUUAUUCUCGUCCCCAAGGAUGAAGAAAAUGCUGUAUAUUGAAAUGAAUUUCUGGUGCUUCUUUCCUCAGCCUUGGUCGGAAAGGACAUGGAAGUCCCAAACAGCAGCUUUUGCUGGGCAGUUAAUCCCCUCCCAAAUAUUAACUUCUUGCACGUGCUUUAGCUGAAAGUUGAAAUGUUCCAGAGAAUUGGGCUAAAGUUGUAGCUGACAGUAUGGACUCUUUAUUGACAAGUUUUUUUUUUUUCUUUCUUUUUCUUCUCCAAAUUUCCCAUGCUUGUUCUUUCAAAAUCACAUUUCCAUUUGAUGGUUGAAUUUUCUUCCUUUCCCUUCUCGAUAUUUCCCAUUCAUCUUCCAAGAGACUUAUAGGAUUACAGCAACUGAACUCCCCAUCGUGUUCCCUAAAAUUCUGCCAAUUGCUUACUAUAUUCACACUUUUUGUAACUCCUUUAUCUUUCUUGUUUUCGAGAACAUUCCCACUAAUUUCUAUAGUAAAAAAAUUUAGUUUUAGCUUCUGUUGUCCCUAUUCCAGAUUCUAGUUCCAUGUCAUCACCAUCUUCAUUAUUCUCCUUCUCAUAGAUGACCUCAUUUACACUAGACAAAUCAGCAAUAAAAUCCUCCUCCAUAACAGUACCCUUGUCUUCAUUUUUGGAAGUUUCAUAUAAGGUAUCUUGUUCUUCACUAGGGCUUUCAAAAAGUUGAUCUUUAUGAACAAAGACUGCAACCUUCUCUCUUUGAGUGGAUUGCUCUAAUUUUUCCCAUUUUUGAUCCAAUCUUUCCAUUUUCUGAAUCACUUUUUCAAUUCUUUGUUCCAGCGACUCUUGUUCCUUAACAUUCUAUCUAGAAUUUCCACUCCUCUAUUAAUAAACAUUUGUACCAAAGAUUGUACUUGCAUGAUUCAAGAAUUUCAAGAAUAGGGUUUCAGAAGAGAAGAAGAAAGUAAUCUUUUGUCAAGCCCAAAGCAAAGAAAUAUAAGUCCAAACCCUAGAAAGAGACAUGGAAUAGAGACCCGAAACUGCGAAAAGAAACUAGAAAAGAGACCGGGUUGAGAAAGGAAAUAGAAAACUCAGAACAGUAUUCCAAAACAGGAAACAGAGGAUAACCCUAGAAUGAGAUUUUCAAGAAUUUCAAGAAUAGAUUUCUUGAAAUGCAGGAAUUGAAAACUUUAAGAAGGAAAACAGAAGAUAUAAACAGAAAUCUACAAAAGAUCAAGAAAGAGGGAAAGAAAUUCCAUGGAAGCAAGGGAGAAGAAAUAGGGAAAAGAAAAUAAAAAAAAAAUCUCAGAGAAGAAUAAAAGGAGUAGAGGGAAAGAAGAGAGAAAGAGAAAAGAACAGAGAGAAACUUGAAAUUCUGGAAUUUUGAAAGAAUCCCAUAAUUCUGCUCAGGAUUGCAAUGCCAGCAGAAAGGAUUGGAAGGAGACCAGGUGGAAUAGAGAUCUGAUACACUUGUUACAUAGCAGACCUGUAAUUCCCUUUGAAACAGAGAAAUAGAGAGAGAAAGAAAUAGAAGUAAAUUGGAUUGAGAAAAGAAAUAGAAAGGGAGAAGUAAUGGAGAGAAUUAGAGAAGAGGAGAGAGCAGAAAUAGGGGAAAAGAGUUUAUCUUGAUUACUAAUGAUUUUGGAUAUCUUUCUCUUUACAAGCAAGUUCCUAUUUAUACUAUUUUGGGUCUCAUAACUAGUUUCUUCAGUUACAAUUGACUGAAGAGACUAAUCUACUAUUUCUUUAUUCCUUAGUCAUAACAUGAGCCUUCUCCAUUCUGUAGGCUUGGACGUGUGUUAACUGAUUAAUACUUCCAUAGGAUCAACUUGUUUCAUUAGGAAGUGUGCAUAAUAAGUAACAUUUUUUUUUUAGUUUUCUUGAUUUGAACACUUGAUUUUAGAGAUCAUCUCUGAAAACAUGAUGUGAUAGGGAAGUCUUGCAAGCUGAUUUGUUUUGAAUGGGGAAAAUAAGUUUGAGAAGAGAAGGUUUUAGGCAUUUUUU
rnacentral:lncRNA from 1 species